rnacentral:rRNA from 1 species
AACCUCCGCAAUGUGAGAAAUCGCGACGGGGGGAUCCCAAGUGCCAUUCUUAACGGGAUGGCUUUUCAUUAGUGUAAAGAGCUUUUGGAAUAAGAGCUGGGCAGGACCGGUGCCAGCCGCCGCGGUAACACCGGCAGCUCUAGUGGUAACAAUUUUUAUUGGGCCUAAAGCGUCCGUAGCCGGUUUAAUAAGUCUCUGGUGAAAUCCUGCAGCUUAACUGUGGGAAUUGCUGGAGAUACUAUUAGACUUGAGACCGGGAGAGGUUAGAGGUACUCCCAGGGUAGAGGUGAAAUUCUGUAAUCCUGGGAGGACCGCCUGUUGCGAAGGCGUCUAACUGGAACGGUUCUGACGGUGAGGGACGAAGUUAGGGGCGCGAACCGGAUUAGAUACCCGGGUAGUCCUAACUGUAAACGAUGCGGACUUGGUGUUGGGGUGGCUUUGAGCUGCUUCAGUGCCGAAGGGAAGCUGUUAAGUCCGCCGCCUGGGAAGUACGGUCGCAAGACUGAAACUUAAAGGAAUU